GAUCAACCAAUUGACGUUAGAUUCUACGAAUAACUACUAAAUCGGAAUACCUAAUUUUUAGGAAUCCAUAUUUACGGCGACGUAGGAUC
rnacentral:sRNA from 1 species